rnacentral:misc_RNA from 1 species
GUUUAUAUAAAAUCUCAUAUUUCAAUAUAAACAGCUUUACUUUUACAUAAAAUUAAAUUUAUAUUAAAUACCCUCUCUUUUAAUUCUGUAAAAUCGACGAUGGUGGGAUACUAGGUAGUGUCCAGAACAAAAACACUUGUUCAAUUUGUCAACUGUUACCUCAUUAAGUCCUCUAUUUCAUUAUUUUCACUUAUCAUGUCUUUAAAUAUCUGGGGUUAAAAAAGAACAACAAAAAAGAAAAACACAGAACCAACAAGGAGAUUUUUCUUUUCUUGAAGUUUAUAUUCAAAAAGUUUUUUUUUUUUAAUCUCCACUUAUCAUCAGAGAUCCUCUUCUUCUCCCAUAAAAGAAACACUCUAAAUACCAUUUUGUUUCUCUGUACACUACCAAAAUUAUUUCUUCUGUAUAAAGCAACGAUUAAAGGAACUUGAGUAAACAAGGAUCAUUUUCAACUCCAUUUUCUCUCAUCCCCCACCUCCUCUCUCUCCCCGAUUCCUGCUGACUCGACUCAGCUGGAUCAUCUUGAUCACUAGACACUACUCUGUUUGUCUACUCGAUUCUGCUAAUCCCAAUACGCUUAACUACAGCGUUCCUUAUGGCUUCAGUUUGCAAGCACAGCCCAUUCUGCUCUAUACCAGACAUGUAAUUUCUCACUUCCUUCCGUAUCAUCUCUUGCAUCACUGCCAAAAACUCAGGACUGAAAAACUGCCUCUCAUACCCAACUCCGUUACGUUGUGCAGCUGGAGCUUGCUGCACCCCCGCCGCAGUUGGCGGUGCAACCGGUGUCUGUACAUCUUGUAUCGGGUUUACUCCGCGAUUGAAUCCGGUUCCUGACCCGGAAUUAGGUACUUGAAUUGAGGCUUCGCAAGAAUCGGAUCCAGGAAGAGAAAGGCUCAGAGAUGUUGGCGGAUCCGUGGUGGAUGAGGCAGCAUCGAUUGAAAGAACUGGUGGGACAAGUGAACCCGUUUUCAACAGGGGCCUGUAAACUGGAGAAGAUGACAUGCCGGGCAAGCUGGAAUCACUGACAUCGGAUCCGGAAGGACUGCUAGGGUUCAAAUGAAGACUCGAAACCGGACCAGAGAUGUUCGUGCCCGCUCCAACGCUGGCGGAUCUUUUGAGAGGUUGUCGGGCGUCUGCAUCGUCGCUUAAGUCGUCAGUGAAGGAAGAACAUUUUCGCUUGAGGGUGGAGUUCCAAUGGUUUUUGAUGGCGUUAUCUGUGCGGCCAUUGAGGAGGCGAGCUAUGGUGGCCCACUUGUUGCCGAAACGAGCAUGGGCACGGAUAAUGGUUUCAUCUUCUUCAGGUGAAAAGGGCCUGUGUUCGACCUCAGGGGAAAGCUGGUUACACCAUCGCAACCGGCACGACUUGCCAGAUCGACCAGGAAUCGAUUUGCUUAUUAAAGACCAGUUUCUAGGGCCAUAGUUUUGGACCAGUCUUCGCAACGCCUCGUCUUCUUCGGGACUCCAUGGACCUUUGAUCCGAUCGACGUCUUUUCUCGCCGUAGAAGCCAUGGAUUAAGAGAAUCCUAACUUCCUAAUGACACCCUAAUCAAAUUAAUUAAGGAAAAAGGUUUGAAUUAAAUAAACUAGGUACUGGAAAUCAAUUGGGCAUUGAGAAAGGUCUGUUUCUCGAUGGUGGUGGGGGUGGACGGGGAGCCUCACCUUAGGUUUUUA